AAAUUGCAUUUAUAUUUUUCGCGGAAUAGGGAAAUUUUUUGCUUGUCAUUUCAUAAAGAAAUCACUUAACAGCACCUUUAGAUAUGCUAUCCAUUUAAGUUUUUUGUAAACGUUACACUUGAAGAACUUUAAGUUAAAAAUUCUCCAUUUGACUUACAUUUAAAAGAAUGUUCAGCAUUCAAAAUAUUGCUAACAGCAAUGAUAUAGCAUACUGAAUUGUGACUGGUCAUGUUUUACAUAUAUAUUAAACCUUUUUUAGCCGCCUCUACACAGCCCUUUUCUUUUUCAGAUGGAGCACUACAAACUUGACUGGCACCGCUUCAAACUGAAACAGCGUCUGGAAGGAAGAUCUGCGGUCACAGUGGAUGAGUUUGAGAAGAAGACUGGUACAGGUGAUAUUUCAAGCAUUUCUGGUUCAGAAUCAGACAGUGAAGAUGGGGGUCUUGGAGAUGGAGUGACCCAUGAGGAGACAGACAGCACAAAUCAAACCUCAUAUCGACUUUCUACCAAAGUAGUCUUUCAAAACAUGCAGGGACAGUACCUUUCAUUGUAUCGCUGUGUUCUGCAAAGCAAGAGAGCGAGUAAAUUCUUAUCUUAUUAUUCGGACACAUUUAUACUCAGGACAGUGAAGAAGACGUGGUUUCCUCUUUACUGAAAAUAUCGAACAACACUAUUUGGGUCAUUCUGAUGACUGGUGGUGGACACUUUGAAGGAGCAGUUUUUAAGAGAAAAGAGAUUGUUCAGCAUAAGACGUUUCACCGGUAUACAGUGAGAGCAAAACGAGAGUCGGCACAGGGACUGAGAGACUCUCAGAACCACAGCCAUGCGCCUAAAUCUGCGGGGGUUGCCCUCAGAGGCUACAACGAGGCAGCACUGGUAAGGUACAUUCUGGCAACUCUGGCAGGUGAGUCCACAUUAAUGUAAAUGUCCAUCUUUAAUUUGCACACUUUAUUUUAUAUAUAUAAAGAAAGCUUGCACAACACUGUCAGACAUGCUUAGAAGUUAUGAGCAGGCCUGCAUGGAAUCUGCGCUUGCAGAAUUCCACAGAAAGCUUUGCAUAUUUCCAAGGAAUUGAAAGACCUGUCCUAAGAUGUGGGGAAGGGGGGAUCUGUCCAUUUACGUUUUUUUCGUGCUAUAAGUCAGAGAUAGAGUGAGAGAAAGAGUGUGUUGCGCCCCGCAUUGUUUGAGUGGCUAGCUGCCGCCAUCUAGAAAGCUGGGCUGAGUAUUUGAAGGAGGAAAGUGCCAUAUUCCUACGAGCAACAAAUUAUAACAAGACCAUAUUUUUUUGGAGGUUGUGGAGCGCCCUUGGACAAAAAAGACCAAAGAGUCCAUGUAUUUCCUUUUGCCAACCACAGAGCCACAUUUAGUGAAAUCCAGCGAGUCUUUGAUCUGCUCUCAACUCUACAUGUUUAUAGUUAGUGGAGACUUAAGUUUGCCUGCUCAUCUCCUUAACUAUGGAAUCUAUUUUUCUAUAACAAUCUCAUUUAAUUUCCUUUCUCAAAUAUUUCUCUCAAAUUUCAUACAAAAACACUGAAAUAUCCAGUACUUUGAGUCCAUCGAAGAAAGUGUGGAAGAAGAAAACUGCUAAAUCUGCCAGUCAGACAAUCCCUGAGCCAAACACUAAUGUUUCUGCAAGGAGGGAAGAAGGCGAAGAAAGAAGUUCAGAGGAGGAAGACUCGGGAGCUUUAGACACUAGGAACCCUGGACCUUAGAGAACAUGAGAUCCAUCUUAAUAAGAAGAAAAGGAAGAAACAAAAAGAGAAAAGAGAAGACUGAAAAGGUAGAUGAAUCGGUGGAAGAAGGAGACCUUGAGGGUGAAGAUGAUUCUACAGAGAUUCAAAGAAAGUCAAACAGCAAGAGAAAACCCAUGAUGAAGUGGAUGAGUCGUGGGAAUACAGUUUGAGGGACGCUCUGUACACCACCUGUAAAACGGGAGACAUCCAAACCUUACACACACUCUUACAGCUGCCAGAGGACCAGGAAGAGGAAAAGGAGGGAGGAAAGGCGACCGCCCAAGACAAUCCUACCUCAGACACCUCUUGGGUCUUAUGCUUUCUUAACAAGCCCAUAGACUUGCAGGCUUCACUUUACUGCAUGUGGCAUCCGCAGCUGGACAGAAAUCUGUCAUCAGUUAUUGGAUGCAGGCAGUAGCGGAUCCUGGCAUAGGCGAUAUAGGCAGGCACCUAGGGCGGCAACGCUCCCUGGGGCGGCACGACAGGGUACCUGCCAGGCCGCCCCCGCACAGAGCUCACAAGAUCGCGAUGGGAGAUAGGUGCCCCAGUCGUGCCACCCUGCCCCUGCACAUCUUGCAAGAUCGCGAUGGGAGACAGGUGCCCCGACAGGCUGCUCAGCCUAAAGGCUCUAUAUGGUUAGGAUUAUGGAUGUUCAUAAUGUAUUCUUACAUUAUGAACAAACAUAAGUUAACCAUGAUAAACAGUAGGCCUAUAGGUAGGCUACACCAUGACACAGGAUCUUCUUAGUGGUCUUGCAAUAAUUAGUAUCAACCAUGUGAUUGCUAGGCAGAUAUGAAGAAGUCAUUGAUGAUUUUGCAUCAUUGAAAACUAGGAGGGGAGGGUUAAAUUUAAAAUUAGGGAUUAGGUGUAAUACACAGAGUAGCUGCAAUUUGUAAGGAUUCUGCUAUAUACUUUAUUUAUUGACUCUAUAAUUUUAUUGUGCAAUUUAAGUUAUGUAAUGUAUAUACUGUAUAAUGUCAAUGUUAAUAGAAUGUGCCAUUUAUUUAUAUAUAUACACUACCGGCCAAAAGUUUUGAAACACUUGUUUCUCAUGAUCUUAAAAAUCGUUUGAUCUGAAGGCGUAUGCUUAAAUGUUUGAAAUUAGUUUUGUAGACAAAAAUAUAAUUGUGCCACCAUAUUAAUUUAUUUCAUUAUAAAACUAAAAUUUAAUACAAAAAAUAAAAUAAAAAAAAAGUUUUUGAAAUUGAUGACUUGGACAAAAUAAUAAAGAAAAGCAUCCAAUAAUUGCCCAACAUAGAUGGGAACUCCUUCAAUACUGUUUAAAAAGCAUCCCAGGGUGAUACCUCAAGAAGUUAGUUGAGAAAAUGUCAAGAGUACAUGUCUGCAAAUUCUAGGCAAAGGGUGACUACUUUGAAGAUGCUAAAAUAUAACACAGUUUUGAUUUAUUCUGGAUUUUGUAUAGUCACAACAUAAUUCCCAUAGUUCCAUUUAUGUUAUUCCAUAGUUUUGAUGACUUUACUAUUAUUCAAAAAUGUGAAAAAAAAUAAAUAAAUUAUAAUAAAGAAUGAGUAAGUGUUUCAAAACUUUUGACCAGUAGUGUAUAUAUAAGGGGCUUUAAGGGGGGGGUGCCACGUCACGAGACUGAACGUGAUCCACCGGCAUCAUGUUGACAGAUGAGGUAGCAUAAUUAAAAUUACACAGUUAUGAUUGUUUCACUACAAACUUUGAGACUAAACUAAAACUACUUAUCAGCUAACAUAGCAUACUGAUACACACAUACAGCUACAUACUACCGAACUAUAUCAGACAGUUUACUGUUGCACUGCAAUUAUGUUGCACUAUUGUAAGUUUUGUAUAGUCAUAUGUUGUACUACGAAUAAGAAACCAGUGUAUUUGCUUAAAUUUAUCCUGUAUACCUGACUUUUAGUAUAAAUAGAAGAUCAUUUAAAUUAUUUGAAAGUUACGAAGCAAGGUAGCUUGCAAUUCUAUUGUGAGAAAAGUUGACCUCUCAGUUGAUAUAUAUUUAAGCAAGCUGACAUUUCACAGCUAGUACUCAGUUCCUAUUUUCAUAGUGUGUGUGUGUGUGUCAGUAACGGAAAUCAUGUGGAAAGGGUUUCCUGUUUUAUUUCUCUGAGUGUCUGAGGUCAAAAGUUGAACACCUCUCCUCUAUUCUAGAAUUUUUUGUUUCAUUUACAUAAUUAAUGCAGAAUCUUUAUGUAUGUCUUUCCAAAUAGGGUAAUGAUUGAUCUCAUUGGAUAAUGUAGUUAGUGUACUGCUUUUCCUGUUCUUACAAAGGUAUAUAAUGCUGUGCUGAACAAUAAAGUACGAGAAAUCUCU